rnacentral:tRNA from 1 species
GCGCCUGUAGCUCAGUUGGAUAGAGCACCAGUCUUCGGAACUGGGUGUCAGGGGUUCGAAUCCUCUCAGGCGCG